rnacentral:lncRNA from 1 species
UGCUGGUAAGCCCCGUCCGGACUCCUACGGGAGCCGGACUUCGCCUUUAACUUUAAUUGCAGGAAGGCUCCGCCCGGGCUCCUACGGGAGUCGGGCUUUGUCCUCGACUCCAACGGCUGCAGACAGACUUCGUCCGGACUCCUACGGGAGCCGGACUCCGCCGACAACUUCGACCUCAAGUAGACUCCGCCCGGACUCCUACGGGAGCCGGGCUCCGUCCUCAACGUC